AUGUAGGUAAGGGAAGUCGGCAAGGCUGAUCCGUAACUUAGGGACAAGGAUUGGCUCUGAAGAAUGAGUCGGUCGGGCUGUGGUCUGAAGCGAGUUGUGCGCUGCACCGGGACUGGACACGGUGGAAGUGGCUUUCGGGUCGCCAACGCCGAGUUCGGACCAGCGUCAGUGUGUUCUCGCGGAAUGCCUCAGCUACGCCUCCAUGGUUGGUGGUUGCUCCUCACGGGGUGGCCAUCUCCAAGGGGGAUCGUUUCGGCCGGCAAAAAACAUUGAAUCAGA
rnacentral:rRNA from 1 species